GCCUGGGUGGCUCAGUUGGUUAAGCACCUGACUUCGGCUCAGGUCAUGAUCUCUCAGUUUGUGAGUUCGAGCCCCAUGUCGGGCU
rnacentral:tRNA from 1 species